rnacentral:rRNA from 1 species
UACGGAAGGCAGCAGUGGGGAAUAUUGCACAAUGGGCGAAAGCCUGAUGCAGCUAUGCCGCGUGUAUGAAGAAGGCCUUAGGGUUGUAAAGUACUUUCAUCGGGGAGGAAAAACAAAACUAAUAAUUUUAUUUCUUGACGUUACCCGAAAAAGAAGCACCGGCUAACUCCGUGCCAGCAGCCGCGGUAAUACGGAGGGUGCUAGCGUUAAUCAGAAUUACUGGGCGUAAAGAGCACGUAGGUGGUUUUUUUAAGUCAGAUGUGAAAUCCCUGGGCUUAACCUGGAACUGCAUUUUGAAACUGAAAUACUAGAGUAUCGUAGAGGGAGGUAGAAUUCUAGGUGUAGCGGUGAAAUGCGUAGAUAUCUGGAGGAAUACCUGUGGCGAAAGCGGCCUCCUAAACGAAUACUGACACUGAGGUGCGAAAGCGUGGGGAGCAAACGAGUAUAGACU